CAGGGAAUAGUUUAAAUAGAACAUCAG
rnacentral:tRNA from 1 species